UACGGAAGGGGCAAGCGUUGUUCGGAAUCAUUGGGCGUAAAGGGCGCGUAGGUGGUUCUGUAUGUCUACCGUGAAAGCAUACAGCUCAACUGUAUUUUGUCGGUAGAAACUGCAGGACUUGAGGCUGGGAGGGGCUGGUGGAAUUCCUGGUGUAGCGGUGAAAUGCGCAGAUAUCAGGAAGAACACCAAUGGCGAAGGCAGCUCUCUGGGACGGUACUGACGCUGAGACGCGAAAGCGUGGGGAGCGAACAGG
rnacentral:rRNA from 1 species